GUCCACGCCGUAAACGAUGGGUACUAGGUGUAGCGGGUAUUGACCCCUGCUGCGCCACAGCUAACGCAUUAAGUACCCCGCCUGGGGAGUACGGCCGCAAGGCUAAAACUCAAAGGAAUUGACGGGGGCCCGCACAAGCGGUGGAGCAUGUGGUUUAAUUCGAUGCAACGCGCAGAACCUUACCUAGGCUUGACAUGCGCCGGGAACCCCCAUGAAAGUGGGGGGUGCCCUUCGGGGAGCCCGGACACAGGUGCUGCAUGGCUGUCGU
rnacentral:rRNA from 1 species